CCAUAUUACCGGGCCCAGCUUCGGCUGGCUCGAUUAUACCCUUGUCUUGUCUACCCCGUUUCCUCGGUAAUGGCCUGCCAGAGGACAUUUUUAAACCAUGUACUUGCAAUCAGCGUCAGAAAACAAAAUAUUA
rnacentral:misc_RNA from 1 species